AUGGCCGCCGCAGCGGCAGCAGGCGCGGCAUCCUCCCUUGUCCCCUCCACUUCCCAGCGCCGUCUCCCCUUCCGUCCCACCCCCACCCGCCAACCCCUCCUAGCCGCCAACAGGACCCUGACGCUCUCCCCGAAGCCACCCCGCCUCCUGCAUCCCCUCGCCGCGUCCUCCUCCUCUCCGCCUCCGCCCGAGGAUGCUGAGCCAACCGACCCCGUCAAGCUCGCCUUCGCCCGCGCCGCCGCGUACAAGAAGGAGAGGACUAAUCCGACGCCCAAGCCACCGCCACCGCCACCGUCGCCUUCCCCUCCGCCGCAGCCUUCCGCAAAGGAGUCCAGCGGCAGCAAAGAGGCAUUCGAGCGGGCGCUGGAGUACAGGAACGGCAACGGGGGAGGACUGGACGGCGGCUCCCCGCUUCUCAAUCCGUCGCCGACUUUCGGCCAAAGCACGUUUACUAGUAAAGAAGGUGCAUUUGGCAAAGUGGCAAAGAAAAAGGGAGGGUAUGCGUACGAUGAGACGGACUUUUUGGGCCUCGGUUUCUUCGAGAAAAAACGUUAUCAAGGUCCACCACCAGGGCUAUCUCAAGGAAUUGAUCCUUUUUCAAAUGAAGAUUUUCCUGAGGUGGAGAUAGUAGUUGGCGACCCUAGUAAAUUUGGGAAGUCUCGUCGUUCAACUGAAAAUCAACCUCUAGAUGAUAGCGAGUCUGAGGAAACUUCACGUUCAAAAGACGGCAAACAAAAUGAAGAUAGCAAGCUUGAGGAAACACCACUUUCAACUGUUAUUGAACCUGAAGAUGACGAAAACUCAGAGUCGUACAAACCCAGGGUUACAACGUGGGGAAUGUUUCCACGGCCACAAAAUAUUUCAAAGGCGUAUGGUGGUGGAAGAAAUAUAAGCCUUGGUGGAGAGACUCAAAGUGCUGAAGAGAAAGCAGCUAAAGAUAAACGUACCAGAGAACUACUAACUGCGUAUAUUGGUGGAAAAAACAAGACACUCGAUGCAAAAACAAAGGCAGAGUGCACCAAGGCACUGAAGGAAGGUGACGAACUUAUGAAUGCUGGAAGGCUGAAACAAGCUUUGCCUUAUUAUGAAAAAGUGAUGCAGGCUGCGGACUUUAAGACCGAACUUCAUGGAAUGGCUGCUCUCCAGUGGUCCAUCUGUCUGGAUUCACUCUGCAGGUCCAAGGAAGCCAUGGGCAUGUAUAGCAAGCUCAAGUACCACCCAAACGAUCGCGUCAGCAAGAAGGCAAAGAUGUUCAUGUUCAGCUUUCAGGCGGCGGACUUCCUGAAGGUCGACGGCGUGCCAGUGCCGCGCAACACGGGCUACGAGGGGUACUUCGACCAGUUUGGCGGGCAGAGGAACUACUACGCGAACCCGGACGAGCCCGAGGUGGGGAUCCGGCAGAUCAUCCCGUACAUGCUCUUUCUCGUCUCCCCCAUUUUCUUCGUCGCUUUUAUCGCUUUGAGAAAGUCUUUGAUGCUGUAA
rnacentral:rRNA from 1 species